rnacentral:lncRNA from 1 species
CAGGAGGGGCGGGAAUGUGGAGGUGUGAUUCCAAGGGAAAAUAAGAGGGGUAGGGGUAGGGAGCACCAUGCAACCCUGAGAUGCAGCCUGAGCCUUCCCCCAACCCUUCAGUUCCCACCAAGUUUUCCCACAGUGCUUUCUGUGGGGCUCAGCUCCCAGUGAGCAUCCUCCAGCUCUCCUGCACCAUAUCCCCAGCAGCCUCUGCUCCCCUCCUCAUCCCCAGCCCAGGCGUGCAUCUCGUCUUGUCUCCUUCUGGCAGUACAGCCAAUGCUCCUGCUCCACUUCCUCCUGAUUAACAUGCAUUCAACAGGAAUUAUAGCAGAGGAAAAUAAAUAUUUGUUUUUGCAUCAGCGUAUUCCAAUUUGAAAAUCCCAGUGUUUACAUUUUGCCUGUUUGCUUUUUAAGUUGAUGCAAGUUUGAGCGACUUAUAAAAACAAAGGAAAAAGUACUUUCCCACUCUGUGUGCCCAGAAGCACGUUGUUCACCUGCCUGUGUGCCCCGAGUCCCCCUUGUGUCCUUUUCCCCCCACAUCCAUCAAUUUGCCCCACUUUUCACAUGAGGACUGUUGGAUAUGGAACACAUGGAAUCAAGGAACUCCGAGCUGGAAAUCUCCAAUGAGACACGAGAGCACAGGAAAACUAAGAGGAUCACAUCCUGCAGAGGGAAGGGACACGCAGCAAACCACGUGCUUUGAUGACAUGCUGGGGUUAAAAAGUAAUUAAUUAGCUAGUUUAUGGUGUUUUCCCGUCUGAAAUUAAAAACAAAAAUUAUGCAGAACAUACGAGGUAAUUAGGAAAGCAGCAAGCUACAACACACCUUCAAAUGAGAGCUCUAAAAGGCGUGAUGCUUGGCAGCAGAUUUUUAAUGUAACAGCCAUUAAGGGCCCAAUGCUCUCGAUUGCAUUCCUGGGAACAUCCACCACUUCAACCUUCCUUUAUGGAUCCAGCUGCCACUCCUGGAAGGACAACUCCUGUCACGCUGCACAAAGCCUGCAGCAUCCUGACCCUGCUCCAUCCCAACCCAUACAGACUUCACAACCAGCCCUCCGGACCCCGCAGCCCAUUUAUCCUUCCAAAGUGGGCACCAAACCGGGAGCUUUGCACACCCAGCACAGCUGAACCUUGGAUGCCACCCACAACAGCUCAACUUUCCAAUGAGGCUUUUGCUGCUCAAGUUUCCAAUUACCCUUUUGUCACCUCCAUCAGUCCCUGGAGGGGUGUAUUUGCUGGCUUUGGUUGGAACGGGGUUCGAUUUACAACAUUUUUCUUGUGCUGCUCUAUGGUGACGAUGCUGAGACAUCAACCCAUUAUGGCCCUGCUUCAUCCAGACCACGGGGUUUGCUCCCAUACUGCAGAUGCAAACAGAGAGAAAAUAUUCUCGAGGCUGACUAACUAAUGCAUGACCAAUUGCAGCUUCUGUGCUUCCAGGUUUCUUUGACUUGACAAGCUCCAAAUCAUAGCAAAAUCAGAAUUUUUCAGGACCCCGAAGCCCUGCACUGCCUCACCAAGCUGGGCAGCUCGCCACGCACCGCAUCUCACGCCUACCAAAACCAGCACCAGGAUGUGACUGGCAGCCUGUCCUGGUAAUUAGCCACAGCUUGCCCAUGGGAGCCAACGGAGCCAGCAGCAAAAGGGAAAUGGCAGCAAGCAGCCCGUGAGCAUGAGCCAAGCACCUUCUGCUGCUGCAGUGCCCAUGCUGCAUCCCAGCGGCGCUGCACUGGGCCCUGGAUACGGCUUGUGAGUGUUAUGGGCAGUUGGAACAGUUGCAAAGGUCGUUGUUUU